rnacentral:SRP_RNA from 1 species
GCCGGGUAUGCUGGUGCAUGCCUGUAAUCCCAGCUACUCGGGAGGCUGAGGCAAGAGAAUCACUUGAAUCCAGGAGGCGGAGGUUGCAGUGAGCUGAGAUCAUGCCACUGCACUCCAGCCUGGGUGACAGAGUGAGACUCUGUCUCAA